rnacentral:rRNA from 1 species
UAACAAGGAUUCCCCUAGUAACUGCGAGUGAAGAGGGAAAAGCUCAAAUUUAAAAUCUGGCGGUUUUGUCGCCCGAGUUGUAAUCUGGAGAAGCGUUUUCCGCGCCGGACCGUGUACAAGUCUCUUGGAACAGAGUGUCAUAGAGGGUGAGAAUCCCGUCCAUGACACGGACUCCCGGUGCUUUGUGAUACGCUCUCGAAGAGUCGAGUUGUUUGGGAAUGCAGCUCAAAAUGGGUGGUAAGCUCCAUCUAAAGCUAAAUAUUGGCGAGAGACCGAUAGCGAACAAGUACCGUGAGGGAAAGAUGAAAAGCACUUUGGAAAGAGAGUAAAACAGUACGUGAAAUUGUUGAAAGGGAAACGCUUGAAGUCAGUCGCAUCUUACUUGACUCAGCCUUGCUUCGGCUUGGUGUAUUUCAAGUAGGAUGGGUCAACAUCGAUUUUGACCGGCGGACAAGGGGUGAAGGAAUGUGGCACUCUUCGGAGUGUGUUAUAACCUUUUCUCAUAUACGUCGGUUGGGAUUGAGGCCCGCAGCGCGCCCUUGUGGCCGGAGGUUCGCCUCACGUAACGCGCUUAGGAUGUUGGCAUAAUGGCUUUAAGCGACCCGUCUUGAAACACGGACCAAGGAGUCUAACAUGCUCGCGAGUGUUAGGGUGGAAAACCCUUGCGCGUAAUGAAAGUGAAAGUUGAGAACCUCCGCAAGGGGGCGCAUCGACGCCCGGCCCUGAAGUUUACUGACGGUGCUGCGGUAGAGCGCGUAUGUUGGGACCCGAAAGAUGGUGAACUAUGCCUGAAUAGGGCGAAGCCAGAGGAAACUCUGGUGGAGGCUCGUAGCGAUUCUGACGUGCAAAUCGAUCGUCAAAUUUGGG